rnacentral:tRNA from 1 species
AGAGCGUCUGUCUUGUAAACAGAAGGUCGCUGGUUCGAUUCCAGCAUGAAGCA